UACGUAGGCAGCAAGCGUUGUUCGGAGUUACUGGGCGUAAAGGGCGCGUAGGCGGACGGCUUUGUCGGGCGUGAAAUUCCAGGGCUUAACCUUGGGGCUGCGUUCGAGACGGGUUGUCUAGAGUUUGGAAGAGGGUCGUGGAAUUCCCAGUGUAGAGGUGAAAUUCGUAGAUAUUGGGAAGAACACCGGUGGCGAAGGCGGCGACCUGGUCCUUGACUGACGCUGAGGCGCGAAAGCGUGGGGAGCAAACAGG
rnacentral:rRNA from 1 species